rnacentral:rRNA from 1 species
GAUGAACGCUGGCGGCGUGCCUAAUACAUGCAAGUCGAGCGAACGGACGAGAAGCUUGCUUCUCUGAUGUUAGCGGCGGACGGGUGAGUAACACGUGGAUAACCUACCUAUAAGACUGGGAUAACUUCGGGAAACCGGAGCUAAUACCGGAUAAUAUUUUGAACCGCAUGGUUCAAAAGUGAAAGACGGUCUUGCUGUCACUUAUAGAUGGAUCCGCGCUGCAUUAGCUAGUUGGUAAGGUAACGGCUUACCAAGGCAACGAUGCAUAGCCGACCUGAGAGGGUGAUCGGCCACACUGGAACUGAGACACGGUCCAGACUCCUACGGGAGGCAGCAGUAGGGAAUCUUCCGCAAUGGGCGAAAGCCUGACGGAGCAACGCCGCGUGAGUGAUGAAGGUCUUCGGAUCGUAAAACUCUGUUAUUAGGGAAGAACAUAUGUGUAAGUAACUGUGCACAUCUUGACGGUACCUAAUCAGAAAGCCACGGCUAACUACGUGCCAGCAGCCGCGGUAAUACGUAGGUGGCAAGCGUUAUCCGGAAUUAUUGGGCGUAAAGCGCGCGUAGGCGGUUUUUUAAGUCUGAUGUGAAAGCCCACGGCUCAACCGUGGAGGGUCAUUGGAAACUGGAAAACUUGAGUGCAGAAGAGGAAAGUGGAAUUCCAUGUGUAGCGGUGAAAUGCGCAGAGAUAUGGAGGAACACCAGUGGCGAAGGCGACUUUCUGGUCUGUAACUGACGCUGAUGUGCGAAAGCGUGGGGAUCAAACAGGAUUAGAUACCCUGGUAGUCCACGCCGUAAACGAUGAGUGCUAAGUGUUAGGGGGUUUCCGCCCCUUAGUGCUGCAGCUAACGCAUUAAGCACUCCGCCUGGGGAGUACGACCGCAAGGUUGAAACUCAAAGGAAUUGACGGGGACCCGCACAAGCGGUGGAGCAUGUGGUUUAAUUCGAAGCAACGCGAAGAACCUUACCAAAUCUUGACAUCCUUUGACAACUCUAGAGAUAGAGCCUUCCCCUUCGGGGGACAAAGUGACAGGUGGUGCAUGGUUGUCGUCAGCUCGUGUCGUGAGAUGUUGGGUUAAGUCCCGCAACGAGCGCAACCCUUAAGCUUAGUUGCCAUCAUUAAGUUGGGCACUCUAAGUUGACUGCCGGUGACAAACCGGAGGAAGGUGGGGAUGACGUCAAAUCAUCAUGCCCCUUAUGAUUUGGGCUACACACGUGCUACAAUGGACAAUACAAAGGGCAGCGAAACCGCGAGGUCAAGCAAAUCCCAUAAAGUUGUUCUCAGUUCGGAUUGUAGUCUGCAACUCGACUACAUGAAGCUGGAAUCGCUAGUAAUCGUAGAUCAGCAUGCAACGGUGAAUACGUUCCCGGGUCU